rfam:Bombyx mori DNA, contig: Bm_scaf51_contig26539, strain: p50T/Dazao, build 2, whole genome shotgun sequence.
UUAACUCAAAUUCGUAUGGAGUUGGAUUGUCUGCGUUUGCCGCUAGUUUGCGCUGUUCCAACUGCAUACAAAUUUGAGUUA